GGCCGCGGGAAUUCGAUUCAGGCCUAACACAUGCAAGUCGAACGGCAGCACGGACUUCGGUCUGGUGGCGAGUGGCGAACGGGUGAGUAAUACAUCGGAACGUACCCAGUAAUGGGGGAUAACUAUCCGAAAGGAUAGCUAAUACCGCAUACGCCCUACGGGGGAAAGAGGGGGAUCGCAAGACCUCUUGUUAUUGGAGCGGCCGAUGGCUGAUUAGCUAGUUGGUGAGGUAAAGGCUCACCAAGGCGACGAUCAGUAGCGGGUCUUAGAGGACGAUCCGCCACACUGGAACUGAGACACGGUCCAGACUCCUACGGGAGGCAGCAGUGGGGAAUCUUGGACAAUGGGCGCAAGCCUGAUCCAGAAGGGCCGCGUGCGUGAAGAAGGCCUUCGGGUUGUAAAGCGAUUGUGUCAGGGAGCAAAAGGUGGUGGCUAAUAUCCAUCGCUCUUGAGAGUAC
rnacentral:rRNA from 1 species